rnacentral:rRNA from 1 species
UGAUGUGGUUUAAUUCGAUGCAACGCGAAAAACCUUACCCACCUUUGACAUGUACGGAAGUCGCCAGAGAUGGCUUCGUGCUCGAAAGAGAGCCGUAACACAGGUGCUGCAUGGCUGUCGUCAGCUCGUGUCGUGAGAUGUUGGGUUAAGUCCCGCAACGAGCGCAACCCUUGUCAUUAGUUGCUACAUUCAGUUGGGCACUCUAAUGAGACUGCCGGUGACAAACCGGAGGAAGGUGGGGAUGACGUCAAGUCCUCAUGGCCCUUAUAGGUGGGGCUACACACGUCAUACAAUGGCUGGUACAAAGGGUUGCCAACCCGCGAGGGGGAGCUAAUCCCAUAAAGCCAGUCGUAGUCCGGAUCGUAGUCUGCAACUCGACUACGUGAAGUCGGAAUCGCUAGUAAUCGU